UAUGAACCGUUAUAACCGGCGAUGUCCGAAUGGGGAAACCCAGUGCAAUUCGUUGCACUAUCGUUAACUGAAUACAUAGGUUAACGAGGCGAACCGGGGGAACUGAAACAUCUAAGUACCCCGAGGAAAAGAAAUCAACCGAGAUUCCCCCAGUAGCGGCGAGCGAACGGGGAGCAGCCCAGAGUCUGAAUCAGCUUGUGUGUUAGUGGAACGGUCUGGAAAGUCCGACGGUACAGGGUGAUAGUC
rnacentral:rRNA from 1 species